rnacentral:pre_miRNA from 8 species
AGGAGUUCAACCCAGGAGGAAGCCCUGGAGGGGCUGGAGGUGAUGGAUGUUUUCCUCCGGUUCUCAGGGCUCCACCUUUUCCG